rnacentral:rRNA from 1 species
AGAGUUUGAUCCUGGCUCAGAAUGAACGCUGGCGGCGUGCUUAACACAUGCAAGUCGAACGGAAUCCAAGGAGCUUGCUCCUGAAGAUUUAGUGGCGAACGGGUGAGUAUCACGUGAGCAACCUGCCCCGAAGACUGGGAUAACACCGGGAAACCGGUGCUAAUACCGGAUGCCUUCCAAUGAUCGCAUGGUCGAUGGAAGAAAUGUUUUUUCGCUUCGGGAGGGGCUCGCGGUCCAUCAGCUUGUUGGUGGGGUAAUGGCCCACCAAGGCUACGACGGAUAGCUGGUCUGAGAGGACGAUCAGCCACACUGGAACUGAGACACGGUCCAGACUCCUACGGGAGGCAGCAGUGGGGAAUCUUGCGCAAUGGACGAAAGUCUGACGCAGCAACGCCGCGUGAGGGACGAAGGCUUUCUGAGUUGUAAACCUCUUUCGACAGGAACGAUUGUGACGGUACCUGCAGAAGAAGCACCGGCCAACUACGUGCCAGCAGCCGCGGUGAUACGUAGGGUGCAAGCGUUGUUCGGAUUUAUUGGGCGUAAAGAGCUCGUAGGCGGUUCGAUAAGUCGGGUGUUAAACCCCCAGGCUCAACCUGGGGCAGCCACCCGAUACUGUCGUGACUAGAGUUUGGUAGGGGACCACGGAACUCCUGGUGUAGCGGUGGAAUGCGCAGAUAUCAGGAGGAACACCAGUAGCGAAGGCGGUGAUCUGGGCCAAUACUGACACUGAGGAGCGAAAGCGUGGGGAGCAAACAGGAUUAGAUACCCUGGUAGUCCACGCCGUAAACGGUGGGCACUAGGUGUGGGGACUUUUCAACGGUUUCCGCGCCGCAGCUAACGCAUUAAGUGCCCCGCCUGGGGAGUACGGUCGCAAGACUAAAACUCAAAGGAAUUGACGG